AUCGAAGACGAUCAGAUACCGUCGUAGUCUUAACCAUAAACGUUGCCGACCAGCGAUUAGGAGACGUUGAAUACAAAACACCACCAUCGGCGCGGUCGUCCUUUGGCGUUGUCGGCUUCACGGCUGGCGGCGCGAGGGCGGUUUAGCCCGGUGGCACCGGUGAAUGACUCCCUACAACCUUUUGGGAGACAAAAACAGGAGGGGGAUGUUGUAGGGAGGGGCCGGGGACCACGAGGGAAGAGAAAAAGAGGAGGCGGGGAUGGGGGUGGGAGGU
rnacentral:rRNA from 1 species